rnacentral:tRNA from 1 species
AUCGCCGUGAUGUCGCGCGGACGCAUGGACGGCUUCCGAUCGUCGCCUGCCAGCUAUUCCAUGACCUAUGUCGAUCAGGACAACGUCGCGAUCUAC